rnacentral:rRNA from 1 species
AAGUCGUAACAAGGUUUCCGUAGGUGAACCUGCGGAAGGAUCAUUAUCGAAACCCGAUCGUCCGGGAGGGGGAAACCCCCCUUCCGGGCUUUCGACCCUUUCAACACCCUUGUGCACUCGCUGUAGGUCCCUCGGGAUCUACGUCUCCCUUCGAACUCGCAUGCCUACAGAAUGUAUGCUUCGCGUCUCGGCCUCGACCCCCAGGGUCCCGCGUCGAAGACCGUAAAAAUCAAUACAACUUUCAGCAACGGAUCUCUUGGCUCUCGCAUCGAUGAAGAACGCAGCGAAUCGCGAUAAGUAAUGUGAAUUGCAGAUUUUCCGUGAAUCAUCGAAUCUUUGAACGCACCUUGCGCUCCUCGGUAUUCCGAGGAGCAUGCCUGUUCGAGUGUCAUCGAAAUCUCGAAUCGAAGCUUGGACCUCGGUCCGAGCUUCGUUCGGACGGUGGGAGUCUGCGGGCGAGCUUUGCUACGUCUGCUCUCCUCAAAAGCAUUAGCCGUGGACGCCAGCCUCGCAUGGCACGGCCUCUUCGACGUCAUAAUGAUCGUCGUGGGCGAACGAACCGUGUCCCGCGCUUCUCUAACUCGGCAGAGGGGGAGCUUUCGUGCUCUUCUCCUUGCCCUUCGGAGGCUUGACCUCAAAUCAGGUAGGACUACCCGCUGAACUUAA